rnacentral:rRNA from 1 species
AUGAACGCUGGCGGCGUGCCUAAUACAUGCAAGUCGAGCGGACGGACGAGAAGCUUGCUUCUCUGAUGUUAGCGGCGGACGGGUGAGUAACACGUGGAUAACCUACCUAUAAGACUGGGAUAACUUCGGGAAACCGGAGCUAAUACCGGAUAAUAUUUUGAACCGCAUGGUUCAAAAGUGAAAGACGGUCUUGCUGUCACUUAUAGAUGGAUCCGCGCUGCAUUAGCUAGUUGGUAAGGUAACGGCUUACCAAGGCAACGAUGCAUAGCCGACCUGAGAGGGUGAUCGGCCACACUGGAACUGAGACACGGUCUAGACUCCUACGGGAGGCAGCAGUAGGGAAUCUUCCGCAAUGGGCGAAAGCCUGACGGAGCAACGCCGCGUGAGUGAUGAAGGUCUUCGGAUCGUAAAACUCUGUUAUUAGGGAAGAACAUAUGUGUAAGUAACUGUGCACAUCUUGACGGUACCUAAUCAGAAAGCCACGGCUAACUACGUG